rnacentral:rRNA from 1 species
AUUGAACGCUGGCGGAAUGCUUUACACAUGCAAGUCGAACGGCAGCACGGACUUCGGUCUGGUGGCGAGUGGCGAACGGGUGAGUAACAUAUCGGAACGUAUCCAAUAAUGGGGGAUAACGAGUCGAAAGAUUCGCUAAUACCGCAUACGCCCUACGGGGGAAAGCUGGGGACCUUCGGGCCUGGCGUUAAUGGAGCGGCCGAUAUCUGAUUAGCUAGUUGGUGGGGUAAAGGCUCACCAAGGCGACGAUCAGUAGCUGGUCUGAUAGGACGACCAGCCACACUGGAACUGAGACACGGUCCAGACUCCUACGGGAGGCAGCAGUGAGGAAUUUUGGACAAUGGGCGCAAGCCUGAUCCAGCCAUUCCGCGUGAGUGAAGAAGGCCUUCGGGUUGUAAAGCUCUUUCGCAAGGGAAGAAAACUUAGCCACUAACAUUGGUUGAGGUUGACGGUACCUUGAUAAGAAGCACCGGCUAACUACGUGCCAGCCGCCGCAGUAA